ACCUGGUUGAUCCUGCCAGCGGUCAUAUGCUUUAUCCGGGGAUUCUUGCCAUGCAGGUUUAAAAACAAGACUUUAAAUGUCGAAUUUGCGAAUGGCUAAAUAGUUCAGUUACAAUCUAAGUGGUUAUGAAAUUCCUUUAGGAUACAAAUAGGAAAUCUAUUGAUAAACCAUAGUAAGAGUGGGUAAAACCACGAGUUUACGAGGACAAGAAUCAUGUGAGGUAGCAAUAUUUCACUCUGUCGAAUCAUCGUAAAAUUAUUGAAUCACGCUUUAGUGCAGUGAUGAGACACAUGAAUUUCUGAUCGAUUAGCUAUCGUUGUUUGGAUAGAGGCCAAACAAGGCUAUUAUCGGUACGAGGAAUGGAUGUUCGAUUUCGUAGAAUACGCCUGAGAGACGGCGAAUACUCUCACGAGAGGCAGCAGGCUCGUAAAUUACCCAAUUACAAUAAGUAGAGGUAGCGAAGGAAAAUAUGAGUGGUGGUAGGUUAUUGCCUAUUACAUUCUCAAAUGGAAGCAAAUUAAAUAUUUCAUAGAAAGCAAGAAGAGGAAAAGUAUCGGUGCCAGCACCCGCGGUAAUUCCAGCUCUUCUAGCGUAUAUCGAAGUUGAUGCAGUUAAAAAGCUCGUAGUCGGAGUUGUUCGGAUAGAGGAUAAAAUGACUUUGUGGAGGAAACUUCACAGGGUGACUCUUCCGAUUCAUUGGAUUAUGAAAGUGCAUUGGUUCGCCAGUGAUUACUUCUCUUCCACAUUUACUUUGAGGAAAUUAGAGUGUUUAUAGCAGUCGUCUUGACUGAAUAGUUUAGCAUGGGAUAAUAGAAUAUGGCAAUAUGUCUUUUCUAUGGUUCUUAAAGGCAAUUCAAAUUUUGCAAUGAUUAAUGGGAGUGGAUGGGGCUGCCAGUAUUGCUGAGCUAGAGGUGAAAUUCUAUGAUUUCAGCAGGACUAACAAAUGCGAAAGCAUCCAGCCAGUACAUGUCCGUCGAUCAAGAACGAAGGGAGUGGUAUCGAAGAUGAUCAGAUACCGUCGUAGUCACUCCAGUAAACGAUGAUAACUCAGGGUAAGGGGGAGGUAAAUUUAAAACUUGCACCUCUUUGAACUGUAUGAGAAAUCAAAGUAUCUAUAUUUCCGGGGGGAGUAUGGCCGCAAGACUGAAACUUAAAGGAAUUGACGGAAGGGCACCACAAGGCGUGGAACCUGCGGCUUAAUUUGACUCAACACGGGAAAACUUACCAGGUCCAGACAUAGUAAGGAUUGACAGGUUGAAAGAUCUUUCUUGAUUCUGUGGGUGGUGGUGCAUGGCCGUUCUUAGUUGGUGGAAUGAUUUGUCUGUUUAAUUACGAUAACGAACGAGAUGAUCAUGGAAAAAUAGGAUGACUAAUCGAAAGAUUGGUACACUUCCUUCUCUUCCAGAUUAAUGGAUUAAAGCCAUUUGAAAUGAUCGCAAUAACAGGUCUGUGAUGCCCUUAGAUGUUCUGGGCUGCACGCGCGUUACAAUGGUGAUGUCAAUGAGUUUUGAGUGGAUUUACUUCAUUCUUGUGCUUUCUCGAGAGGGAUGGCUAAUCUUAUAUAAACAUCACCGUGCUGGGGAUAGAUGGUUGUAAUUAUCCGUCUUGAACCAGGAAUGCCUAGUAAUCGCAUGUCAUCAGCAUGCGAUGAUUACGUCCCUGCCCUUUGUACACACCGCCCGUCGCUCCUACCGAUUGGAUUGUCCGGUGAGAAUGGAGGAUUUUGGUGUUCUAUGAGCAAUCAUGGAGCAUUGGGAGAAUCCAUUCAAAUCUUAUAAUCUAGAGGGAGGAGAAGUCGUAACAAGGUCUCCGUAGGUGAACCUGCGGAAG
rnacentral:rRNA from 1 species